UACGUAGGGUGCAAGCGUUAUUCGGAAUUACUGGGCGUAAAGCGUGCGCAGGCGGCGCGUUAAGUCAGGUGUGAAAGCCCCGAGCUUAACUUGGGAAUUGCGCUUGUGACUGGCGUGCUGGAGUGUGGCAGAGGGAGGUGGAAUUCCACGUGUAGCAGUGAAAUGCGUAGAGAUGUGGAGGAACACCGAUGGCGAAGGCGGGUCUCUGGGCCGAUACUGACGCUGAGGAGCGAAAGCGUGGGGAGCGAACAGG
rnacentral:rRNA from 1 species